rnacentral:rRNA from 1 species
CGCGUAGGACGGUUUGGUAAGUCGGAUGUGAAAGCCCCGGGCUUAACCUGGGAAUUGCAUUCGAUACUGCUUGACUAGAGUAUGGUAGAGGGAAGUGGAAUUCCAGGUGUAGCGGUGAAAUGCGUAGAUAUCUGGAGGAACAUCAGUGGCGAAGGCGACUUCCUGGACCAAUACUGACGCUGAGGUGCGAAAGCGUGGGAAGCAAACA